CCCGGUAACGGUACCGGUAAACCGGUUAACCGGUUACGGUUCCGGUAACCGGUUAACGGUUUUACGGUAACGGUACGGGUACCCGGGGAACCCCGGGGUACCCGGAACCCGUACCCGGGGGUAACGGGUAACGGGUAAACCGGGUAACCCGUAACGUAACCCGUAAACCCCGUUUACCCGGUUUUAACCCGUUACCGGGGUUAACGGUUAACGGUACCGUUUUAACCCGGUAAAACGGUAAAAACGUAACGUUUAAACGUAACCCCCGUAACGGUAACGGGUUAACGGUUAACGGGUUAAAGGUAACGUUUACGGUACGUAACGUACGUUAAAACGUUAACCGUAAACGUUAAAAGUAAACGUUUAAAGUUAAACCGGGGUAAAACGUAACGGGUAGGGGUACGGUACGGUACCGGUUUACCCGUAAGUUAAGGGGUUAGGUACGGGGUACGGGGGUAACCCGGGUAACCCCGUAACCCGUAACGUACCCGUAAACCGGUAGUUAGGGUUACGGUUUACGGGGGUUUACCGGUAGGUAGGGAAGGGGUAAACCCGGUACCCCCCGUAACUACGUUACGGUAAACGUACGGAACGGACCGACCGGUAACCCUAAACCUACCCGGUAACGGGGAACGGACGACGACGACGGUAGGGAAGGGUAAAGUUAGGUUAGGGUACUAAGUAGGAACGGAAGGUAGUCGUACGAACCACGACGUAAGUAGUCGUAGGAAGGAAGACGCCGUCCUAGUUGGGUUAGUUAACUUUAUUUAUAGGUAGGAAAAAUAAAAACGUCCACGUGUGGUAUUACUAGUAUCGUACAUAGAUAAGANACAGUCGACUAAGUUACGUGACACGNGAGCGAGUAGACGAGCCGCAGNCACCUACCUCCCGUGUGCGUCCUUACNCCUCCACGACUGUCGGAGGGGCAGCAUGAACUUAGCUUGCUAAGUUUGAUGG
rnacentral:rRNA from 1 species